GCCGAGGUGGUGGAAUAGGCAGACACGAAGGACUUAAAAUCCUUUGCCCGUAAGGGCGUGUGGGUUCGACCCCCACCCUCGGCA
rnacentral:tRNA from 1 species